rnacentral:rRNA from 1 species
UGGGGAAUUUUGGACAAUGGGCGAAAGCCUGAUCCAGCAAUGCCGCGUGUGUGAAGAAGGCCUUCGGGUUGUAAAGCACUUUUGUCCGGAAAGAAAUCCUUGGCUCUAAUACAGUCGGGGGAUGACGGUACCGGAAGAAUAAGCACCGGCUAACUACGUGCCAGCAGCCGCGGUAAUACGUAGGGUGCAAGCGUUAAUCGGAAUUACUGGGCGUAAAGCGUGCGCAGGCGGUUUGCUAAGACCGAUGUGAAAUCCCCGGGCUCAACCUGGGAACUGCAUUGGUGACUGGCAGGCUAGAGUAUGGCAGAGGGGGGUAGAAUUCCACGUGUAGCGGUGAAAUGCGUAGAGAUGUGGAGGAAUACCGAUGGCGAAGGCAGCCCCCUGGGCCAAUACUGACGCUCAUGCACGAAAGCGUGGGGAGCAAACAGGAUUAGAUACCCUGGUAGUCCACGCCCUAAAACGAUGUCAACUAGUUGUUGGGGAUUCAUUUCCUUAGUAACGUAGCUAACGCGUGAAGUUGACCGCCUGGGGAGUACGGUCGCAAGAUUAAAACUUAAAGGAAUUGACGGGGUCAUAGCUGUUUCCU